rnacentral:rRNA from 1 species
AGUCUUCGGGACGGAGUGGAAGAAGGGCGGAGACUCUCGAACGAGGAAAAGGAUCCCUUCGAAAGAAUUGACCGAGGAGCCGUGGAAAAAUUCCUUUUGAUCUAA